rnacentral:rRNA from 1 species
AUUGAACGCUGGCGGCAUGCUUUACACAUGCAAGUCGAACGGUAACAGGCCGCAAGGUGCUGACGAGUGGCGCACGGGGGAGUAAUGCAUCGGAACGUGCCCAGUCGUGGGGGAUAACUACUCGAAAGAGUAGCUAAUACCGCAUAAGAUCCAUGGAUGAAAGCGGGGGACCGUAAGGCCUCGCGCGAUUGGAGCGGCCGAUGUCAGAUUAGGUAGUUGGUGGGGUAAAGGCUCACCAAGCCAACGAUCUGUAGCUGGUCUGAGAGGACGACCAGCCACACUGGGACUGAGACACGGCCCAGACUCCUACGGGAGGCAGCAGUGGGGAAUUUUGGACAAUGGGCGCAAGCCUGAUCCAGCAAUGCCGCGUGCAGGGAGAAGGCCUUCGGGUUGUAAACUGCUUUUGUACGGAACGAAACGGCUCUGGUUAAUACCCGGGGCUAAUGACGGUACCGUAAGAAUAAGCACCGGCUAACUACGUG